UACGUAGGGGGCAAGCGUUAUCCGGAUUUACUGGGUGUAAAGGGAGCGUAGACGGCAAUGCAAGUCUAGAGUGAAAGGCGGGGGCCCAACCCCCGGACUGCUCUGGAAACUGUAUAGCUGGAGUGCAGGAGAGGUAAGUGGAAUUCCUAGUGUAGCGGUGAAAUGCGUAGAUAUUAGGAGGAACACCAGUGGCGAAGGCGGCUUACUGGACUGUAACUGACGUUGAGGCUCGAAAGCGUGGGGAGCAAACAGG
rnacentral:rRNA from 1 species